rnacentral:rRNA from 1 species
CCUACGGGUGGCUGCAGUGAGGAAUAUUGGUCAAUGGCCGCAGGGCUGAACCAGCCAAGUCGCGUGAGGGAUGACGGUCCUAUGGAUUGUAAACCUCUUUUGUCAGGGAGCAAAGGGCGCCACGUGUGGCGCUUUGCGAGUACCUGAAGAAAAAGCAUCGGCUAACUCCGUGCCAGCAGCCGCGGUAAUACGGAGGAUGCGAGCGUUACCCGGAUUUAUUGGGUUUAAAGGGUGCGUAGGCGGUCCGUUAAGUCAGCGGUAAAAUUGCGGGGCUCAACCCCGUCGAGCCGUUGAAACUGGCAGACUUGAGUUGGCGAGAAGUACGCGGAAUGCGCGGUGUAGCGGUGAAAUGCAUAGAUAUCGCGCAGAACUCCGAUUGCGAAGGCAGCGUACCGGCGCCAGACUGACGCUGAGGCACGAAAGCGUGGGGAUCGAACAGGAUUAGAUACCCGAGUAGUC